AUUCUGCCCAUGCGGGGAAGGAUGAGAAGCUUCGACCAAGGUUCGACUCGAGCGCCAGCGAGAGAGCGCCAGCGAGAGAGCGUUGCCGCAGGCAACGACCCGAAGGGCGAAGCGCGCAGCGCUGAGUAAUCCUUCCCCCACCACCA
rnacentral:sRNA from 1 species